rnacentral:rRNA from 1 species
UACGGGGGGGGCAAGCGUUGUUCGGAAUUACUGGGCGUAAAGGGUUUGUAGGUGGCUUGCUAAGUCAGACGUGAAAUCCCUCAGCUUAACUGGGGAACUGCGUCUGAGACUGGCAAGCUUGAGUGCAGGAGAGGAACGCGGAAUUCCAGGUGUAGCGGUGAAAUGCGUAGAUAUCUGGAGGAACACCGGUGGCGAAGGCGGCGUUCUGGACUGCAACUGACACUGAGGAACGAAAGCCAGGGGAGCAAACGGG